ACUUAAAUUGAAGAGUUUGAUCAUGGCUCAGAUUGAACGCUGGCGGCAGGCCUAACACAUGCAAGUCGAGCGGUAGCACAGAGAGCUUGCUCUCGGGUGACGAGCGGCGGACGGGUGAGUAAUGUCUGGGAAACUGCCUGAUGGAGGGGGAUAACUACUGGAAACGGUAGCUAAUACCGCAUAAUGUCGCAAGACCAAAGUGGGGGACCUUCGGGCCUCAUGCCAUCAGAUGUGCCCAGAUGGGAUUAGCUAGUAGGUGGGGUAAC
rnacentral:rRNA from 1 species